GUGCCCGCUUCGGCAGCUCAUAUUCUAAACUUGGAGCGGCACAGAGAAGAUUAGCAUGGCCCUGUGCACGGAUGACACGCAAAUUCGUGAAGCGUUCCAUAUUUAA